rnacentral:misc_RNA from 1 species
GAAAUGCGAUAAGUAGUGUGAAUUGCAGAAUUCAGUGAAUCAUCGAAUCUUUGAACGCACAUUGCGCCCCCUGGCAUUCCGGGGGGCAUGCCUGUUCGAGCGUCAUCAAAACCAUUCGAGACGCGGGUGCAAACCCUCGGCUCGGUCUUGGGCACGAGGGAUCAAAACCCUCGGCCUGCAAUCCAGCGGCAGACUCCCUGCGUAGCAGUAGCGAGAUAGAAUCGUCAAUCGCGAAUGCGCGACGGCGACGUCUAGCCAUAACCCCCAAAUCUGUAAUCGAUUUUGACCUCGGAUCAGGUAGGGAUACCCGCUGAACUUAA